rnacentral:rRNA from 1 species
UAGGGAAUCUUCCACGAUGGGCGAAAGCCUGACGGAGCAACGCCGCGUGUGUGAUGAAGGGUUCCGGCUCGUAAAACACUGUUGUAAGAGAAGAAUGACAUUGAGAGUAACUGUUCAAUGUGUGACGGUAUCUUACCAGAAAGGAACGGCUAAAUACGUGCCA